rnacentral:rRNA from 1 species
UACGUAGGGUGCAAGCGUUGUCCGGAAUUAUUGGGCGUAAAGAGCUCGUAGGCGGUGUGUCGCGUCGGCCGUGAAAACCUGCAGCUUAACUGUGGGCUUGCGGUCGAUACGGGCAUCACUGGAGUUCGGCAGGGGAGACUGGAAUUCCUGGUGUAGCGGUGAAAUGCGCAGAUAUCAGGAGGAACACCGGUGGCGAAGGCGGGUCUCUGGGCAGUAACUGACGCUGAGGAGCGAAAGCGUGGGGAGCGAACAGG